GACACGGCCCAGACUCCUACGGGGAGGCAGCAGUAGGGAAUCUUCCACAAUGGACGCAAGUCUGAUGGAGCAACGCCGCGUGAGUGAAGAAGGGUUUCGGCUCGUAAAGCUCUGUUGUUAAAGAAGAACGUGGGUAAGAGUAACUGUUUACCCAGUGACGGUAUUUAACCAGAAAGCCACGGCUAACUACGUGCCAGCAGCCGCGGUAAUACGUAGGUGGCAAGCGUUAUCCGGAUUUAUUGGGCGUAAAGCGAGCGCAGGCGGUCUUUUAAGUCUAAUGUGAAAGCCUUCGGCUCAACCGAAGAAGUGCAUUGGAAACUGGGAGACUUGAGUGCAGAAGAGGACAGUGGAACUCCAUGUGUAGCGGUGAAAUGCGUAGAUAUAUGGAAGAACACCAGUGGCGAAGGCGGCUGUCUGGUCUGCAACUGACGCUGAGGCUCGAAAGCAUGGGUAGCGAACAGGAUUAGAUACCCUGGUAGUCCAUGCCGUAAACGAUGAUUACUAAGUGUUGGAGGGUUUCCGCCCUUCAGUGCUGCAGCUAACGCAUUAAGUAAUCCGCCUGGGGAGUACGACCGCAAGGUUGAAACUCAAAAGAAUUGACGGGGGCCCGCACAAGCGGUGGAGCAUGUGGUUUAAUUCGAAGCUACGCGAAGAACCUUACCAGGUCUUGACAUCUUCUGACAGUCUAAGAGAUUAGAGGUUCCCUUUCGGGGACAGAAUGACAGGUGGUGCAUGGUUGUCGUCAGCUCGUGUCGUGAGAUGUUGGGUUAAGUCCCGCAACGAGCGCAACCCUUAUUACUAGUUGCCAGCAUUAAGUUGGGCACUCUAGUGAGACUGCCGGUGACAAACC
rnacentral:rRNA from 1 species